GACAGACUGGGGAUAGAAGAAAAGGCGAGGAGGAGGAGGAGGAGGAGGAGGCUUCACAUCAAGUGGUGCUCCUGCACAGAAGAGGCGGGGAAAGAGUUCAGCGGAGGGUUAAGUGAGGUAAUUGGAACAGGAUGCAGGUGCAGGUGUUUUCUCAGCUUCUCAACUUGGAAGCUCAGACCUGCACACAAACUUGACUGCGGCCUCGUUAAAGCAAAAGCCUGCCUGCGCCAAUUAGCCGGUGAAGGUCAUUGAAGGUCACUGUGUGUUCGAGGGAGAUAAGUUUUCCCAUUAAUGGCCGAGUACCUCUGCUUGACUCUGUGGGGUCUGAGUCGCAACCAGACCUGCACACCGACUUCCCUUAAAAAAGUAGGACAAACAUGGCCAUUGUUUUAUUUAUCGCUGACAAAACAUCUUAUGGUGUACUUCCAUUGCUCUAAACCAUGAUGGAAUUACCGUAUGUUGCUGCACAUUGGAAUAAAUCACCUUUCUAUCCAAUUAAAAAAAAAACAUUACACAAUCGGGGGAGUAGAAAUCUCUUUAAAUGCAGUCGAGCCUGAUUGAUUUUUAUGUUGUCUUCGCAAUGUUCUGCAUUGUUCACAGCCUUUAAUAAAAUAAUGUUAGGAAAUAGCCGAGCAUGAACAUAAUUAGAACAUGCGGCUGGAUUUGAUGUAUAUACACUAAGGUUGUGUUAGGUUAGUACAAUCAGACUUAUCGGUCUCAUGUGUGGAACAAUGUUUCUCAUGCAGAGCUACAAAGUACCACCCAAACCUACACACUAAAAUCUCUCACUCACAAACCCUGUCAUUUCCUCUCUCCGCUGCCAACUAUAUUUACCACCCUCACAAACUCGCUUCACACCAAUCCGGCUGCUCCCCCCUAUAUUUUCGUGUCAUCUCAUGUCUCCCUUCAUCUCUCUCUCUCUGCUACCUUUCAAUGUACAACAAGUCUGCACCAUCUGGUCACUGAGGAGGGAGACAGGAAGGGAGAGCUCCAAUCAAUAGACACUCUGCCUUGUGGCAGAGCUAGAAAUCAAUGGUAGCGGGGAAUUAAGCUGUAGUCUUUGAAUAAAUUGAAGACGCUGGAGCAGGCAACGAAACCACUUGGUGCAAGAAGAGUAAACCUGUUCAGAUUAAAAUGUAAAGGAUGUUUGUUGGGCUUUGCGCUGAGAAUACCUCGAGUCACAAGUACUCUGCCUUAGAGGAGAUACUAAGGCCUUUGUAAUGCUGGUGUCCUGAAAUAAAACGAUAGCAGUGCAUUCACUCUGCAAAGAGGAACAAGCUGAAAGAAUGGAAUGUGCUUUGUAGGAGCAAGAGGGCAUAUUUGGGAUUUGUGCAGAGAAAAGGCUUGAUAGAGAAGACAGCGUUGUGACGGAGCUGCUUCUCACCUCAGCUUGCAAUUCAUAGUUAAAAAAAGAAGAAAGAAAUCUGUUUAUAAAAAGACAACUCCCUUAGGAUUCAUAUUAGUACGAGGGAGGUUCAGCUUGGCAUCUGUUCAAGAGCAGAACAAAAAAAAUGAAAACAUAUUGCAUGCAGUAAAUAUUGACAUGUUAAAUGUGAAGAACAAAGACACAGGUCAAUGAUCUAUUCAGAAAAGCAAAGAAGCGUGAAUGCAAGUUUAAAAGUAUGAAAUACUGUUCACUUAUUAUUUUACUGAUGCAGUAAUGACAGGAAAUGGAGCAUUAAUGAUUUAGGUUGGUAUUUUCUUUUGCUAAUUAAAAGAUAACUGUAACCUACUGAAAGGCGUGAUUAUGAGGACUUUACCCAUCCUCUAAAAGUCUACACCAUAGUCAAUAAUUCAUUCCAACCCUGGCAGUUUAUUCAAAUCAGUGAGCUUUGAAAAACAACAUAAACAAAAAAAAAGGGGGGAACUAGAAAGACAACAAGAGAGAAGGAGAUGGACCAGAAUUAGAAGGAGCACAACAGAGAGACAGACGACGAUGAGACAGAGAAAGAAAGAAAGUCAAAGAGAGGAGCAGACAGCACGUUGAGUGAGACGGAAAGAGUUAGAGAGAGGUAAGCUCUGUUAUUUCUCUGAGGACCUGUGUGAAGUAGCUCAUACUGAGGCCUCUGGCACCACAUCACUCCAACCAGCCUAAUUGCAGUCCGACGGGAGUGGAAAAGCCUUGUACGGACCCGAAGGAUUCCUGCAUAAAAACAGGACCAGAAACCAGCAACCUUGUGUUGCAUAACCAAGUCAAACUUGUGCAGCUUUCAGGGUUUUGAGAAUAUUUUAUACCCUGUAUUUUUUUUAAAGUGGUCCCAUUAAUUACCUUUGGUGGCUAAUAUGGUACAAAGAACUAUGGAUUGAGUUUUGGCCUCAUAGAUGUCAAUUGUUUUAUGGAUGCAAUGGACCUUUGUAUAUUUACUUCUUUUUUAAAUUUAUAAUCCGCUGCAAGCGAUUUCCGUCCCUGUGAAUAUUCCGACAUUUUGUAAGAUAAUCACCAGUCAGAGUCAUACAUUUUCACAGCACCACGAACCGCUACCCUGAAAAAACUCUUGUUUUCAGUCUGUUGUUUUUGCUGGUGACAACUGCAAAAGCCAUUUCCUCGAAUGUGAUGCAAAUGAUUGGGACAUCCUUCCUGCGUGAUGAUCCUGGCGCCCCGGAGAGACCAAAGGUUGCCAUCUGGAGGAAAAGCGAUGGGUUUGGCUUUGAGACAGGGAGAAAGGGCUGGAGGACAUCUGUGACCUGUGGGCUGGUGGUCGCCAGCCAAGGUCUGCCUCAUGUGCUAUGAUGGAUGGCGAGGGGCGCGGUUGGGUGUCUGACUGAGUGGAGGUGUCUGAGAGGGGGGAGUGGAGCCAUGGUGCACAAGCAUGGGUUGGUGUCUUCUUUUCUCAUUUACAGAAUGACGAGCCAAUACAGGUCCAUCACUACGCGUGCAGCUCCGUGCCGUCAACAUCUGUGAGACCGAGGUCAGCGCGCCGACCAGCUGGGGUGUUUACGAGGUGCGACGUUUGAGACCAUGGAACGCUUUUCUGUAAAAAAAUCAUGUAGCAGAUGCCUGGAGUUAUCUAACAUCCAUUAUGAGCUCCUCUCCGCCCACAGUAUGAUACGAUUUGGAAAAAUGUGAGACAGUGGGUGUGAAGAACGGAAGAGGGGGGCGUGAGGGGGGGUCUGAGACAGGGCCAUGUGGAAGAGAAAAUAAACCCUUUUCUGAUUUUACACGCACAUCUAAACUCGACGUUCACAGAGGCAGAGGCCCUGUUUUUUUGUCCCGCAUAAUGAAACUCAAGCCAGUUGAGCCUGGCUGCUCUUUUUUGCCAAUUUUAAGGUAACUACAGUGAAAUAAACGACCUCUGACAUCUGCAUGAGUUUUCAUUUCGUUGGUAGCUCACGGCUCCAGAAAGCAACCCGAUAACCCUCCAACACCGACUUCUGAGGUCAGCGGGUGAACUAAACUAAACUGAAGUGUUUGAAGUGAGCGCAUUCCCAGGAUACUUUAGAGACUGUGGUAGAACAAAUAUCUGUAAUUUAUUAAUAAAGAAAGCUAAUCACUUGAUGCCCGAAGUUUGUUUUUCACUGUAUGUUAAUAUUUUCUGUCAUCUUUUUUUUCCAGGAUCUGUUCUUCCGGCUCGCUUUGUGUUCUCUAACUCACCACAAUUUUCAUAUUCUGGUUCUUUACAUUUCAUACUGGACUUGUAGGUAGGUUGUGUUAGCGAUAUUGUCAGGGAUUGCGGGAGGUAGGACUCAGACGCAGAGUUCAAAAACAAAAGGGACUUUUAAUAGUCAAAAGCAAAAACAAAAGGCCAAGGGGCAAAAACACACAGGAACCAGGGGGAAAAAACAGCAGGCAGGAAACUAUGAAAAUCC
ensembl:lncRNA